rnacentral:rRNA from 1 species
UACGUAGGGGCCGAGCGUUGUCCGGAGUUAUUGGGCGUAAAGCGCGCGCAGGCGGCCUCGCGCGCCCGACGUGAAAGCCCCCGGCUUAACCGGGGAGGGUCGUUGGGGACGGCGGGGCUUGAGGGCGGGAGAGGUCGGUGGAAUUCCCGGUGUAGUAGUGAAAUGCGUAGAGAUCGGGAGGAACACCUGUGGCGAAGGCGGCCGACUGGGCCGACCCUGACGCUGAGGCGCGAAGGCGUGGGGAGCGAACGGG